GACCGAGUGGCGAAACAGGCAGACGCACGGGACUUAAAAUCCCGGGAGGUUCACCCCUCGUGCGGGUUCGAUUCCCGCCUCGGUCA
rnacentral:tRNA from 1 species